UAGGCGGACGGGUGAGUAACGCGUGGGUAACCUGCCUCAUACAGGGGGAUAACAGUUAGAAAUGACUGCUAAUACCGCAUAAGACCACAGCACCGCAUGGUGCAGGGGUAAAAACUCCGGUGGUAUGAGAUGGACCCGCGUCUGAUUAGGUAGUUGGUGGGGUAACGGCCUACCAAGCCGACGAUCAGUAGCCGACCUGAGAGGGUGACCGGCCACAUUGGGACUGAGACACGGCCCAA
rnacentral:rRNA from 1 species